UACGUAGGGUCCGAGCGUUUGUCCGGAAUUAUUUGGGCGUAAAGGGCUCGUAGGCGGUUUUGUCACGUCGGGAGUGAAAUUCCACAGCUUUAACUGUGGAAUUGCUUCCGAUACGGGGCAGACUUUGAGGCAUUUCAGGGGGAGAACGGAAUUCCUGGUGUAGCGGUGAAAUGCGCAGAUAUCAGGAGGAACACCGGUGGCGAAGGCGGUUCUCUGGGAAUGUCCUACGUGAGGAGCGAAAAGUGUGGGGGGAGCGAAACAGG
rnacentral:rRNA from 1 species